GCGUGGAUGAUGAAGGCCCUAGGGUUGUAAAGUCCUUUUAACGGGGAAGAUAAUGACGGUACCCGUAGAAUAAGCCCCGGCUAACUUCGUGCCAGCAGCCGCGGUAAUACGAAGGGGGCUAGCGUUGCUCGGAAUUACUGGGCGUAAAGCGCACGUAGGCGGACCGAUAAGUCGGGGGUGAAAUCCUGGAGCUCAACUCCAGAACUGCCUUCGAAACUGCCGGUCUUGAGUUCGGGAGAGGUGAGUGGAACUGCGAGUGUAGAGGUGAAAUUCGU
rnacentral:rRNA from 1 species